rnacentral:rRNA from 1 species
GNUCUAGCGNUGCCGCGUGANGUGANGAAGNNCUUAGGAUCGUAAAGCUCUUUCGCCAGGGAUGAUAAUGACAGUACCUGGUAAAGAAACCCCGGCUAACUCCGUGCCAGCAGCCGCGGUAAUACGGAGGGGGUUAGCGUUGUUCGGAAUUACUGGGCGUAAAGCGCACGUAGGCGGAUCAAUAAGUUAGAGGUGAAAUCCCAGGGCUCAACCCUGGAACUGCCUUUAAUACUGUUGGUCUAGAGUUCGAGAGAGGUAAGUGGAAUUCCGAGUGUAGAGGUGAAAUUCGUAGAUAUUCGGAGGAACACCAGUGGCGAAGGCGGCUUACUGGCUCGAUACUGACGCUGAGGUGCGAAAGUGUGGGGAGCAAACAGGAUUAGAUACCCUGGUAG